GGACUGUGUAUUCUACUAGUGUCGUUUGUUAAUGUAAACAGCAGCUGCUUCUUUCUUCUGCAAGUGUCUAUCCUUCUGGUCUGAUCUAGGAUGGAGCCCCAUCUAUAGUUAUGUUUAAUUCGGCUGUGCUAUGAUUUCAAUCAGGUCUGACGUCU
rnacentral:snoRNA from 2 species